rnacentral:lncRNA from 1 species
UCAAAACACAAAUCACAAAUAAAAAAUAACUCCAUUCUACGAAAAAAUUGAUCGAAAUACCCGUCACGCUAUGAACAAAUUUCCACGGCUCUAUCAUACAUCAAUCCACCAUUAUUCUUAUAAUAAAGGGAAUUAAAGGGAAAGAGGUGAUCCUGAAUUCGAACAAUUUCAGUUUAAUGUGUUCAGAAAUGAAUACAGGCAGACCGGCAUCGAAAUUUGAACGUGCAAAAGAUCAAGAACAGGAUAGCAACAAUCGAACCAGAACUGUAAACCUCAAGCGACACUCGCCACUUCAAUCGGACUUCAUCGCAACAAGGGAUUUCCAGCAGAACUAAUACGGACAAAACAGGACAAGAAAUCUCCGUACUAAAACAAAUUCAACGCACCCCACAACGAGAAAUCAAAGAAGAAUUUAAACCCUUUGGUCCUUUUGAUACGCAGAAUCGAAAAUGAAAACUUAAGAGGAACUGAAAUCUCUUUGUAUAGAUGUGUGUAUAUAUAUAUAUAUAUAUAUAUAUAUAUAUAUCAAUAAUUUAAAGCCUAAACCAAACUGAAAAUCCAAUCAACCUCCAUUUCAUCCAUCCCCUCCCUUUUCUUGCAUUUUUUUAUUUUUUGAUUGUGUAUGUGUGUGUAGUGAGUCUGGGCGGCUGGUUUCCAAGUAGGGAUUUCUAGGCCUUAUGUCCUUGGGGUGGGGUGAAGAAACAAUAUUCAGGGGGUGGGGUAUGUAGG